rnacentral:rRNA from 1 species
CCCCGCUGGAAUGCAUAGGCGGACGCCUUGCAGCGAGGCCGAGCGUGACAGGACACAAAUUGGCCCGCUCGCCAGGUCGCCAGUCCGGCCCCGAGCCCCGAGCUGGGCAGCAACGACGACAAUGCACUCCUCGAAUCAGGUAGGGAUACCCGCUGAACUUAAGCAUAUCAAUAAGCGGAGGAAAAGAAACCAACAGGGAUUGCCCCAGUAACGGCGAGUGAAGCGGCAAGAGCUCAAAUUUUAAAUCUGGGGUCUCCGACCCCCGAGUUGUAAUUUGGAGAGGCAUCUUCGGGAGGAGCGCUGGCCAAUGUUCCUUGGAACAGGACGUCGCAGAGGGUGAGAAUCCCGUGCCAGGCCGGCUGCUCCCUUCCAUGUGAAGCGCCUUCGACGAGUCGAGUUGUUUGGGAAUGCAGCUCCAAGUGGGUGGUAAAUUUCAUCUAAAGCUAAAUACCGGCGAGAGACCGAUAGCGCACAAGUAGAGUGAUCGAAAGAUGAAAAGCACUUUGAAAAUAGAGUCAUAAAGUACGUGAAAUUGUUGAAAGGGAAGCGCUUGAGGCCAGACUCGGAGCGAGGCAAACAUCUGGCCCCGCGGGGCGGUGCACUUGCCUCGAGCCGGGCCAGCAUCAGUUGGUGUGGCGGGAGAAAGGCGCGGGGAAUGUGGCUCCCCUCGGGGAGUGUUAUUUAGCCCCUUGCUCAAUGCCGCCCGCACCGACUGAGGACCGCGCUCGG